rnacentral:rRNA from 1 species
UACGAAGGGGGCUAGCGUUGCUCGGAAUUACUGGGCGUAAAGCGCACGUAGGCGGCGAUUUAAGUCAGAGGUGAAAGCCCGGGGCUCAACCCCGGAAUAGCCUUUGAGACUGGAUUGCUUGAACAUCGGAGAGGUGAGUGGAAUUCCGAGUGUAGAGGUGAAAUUCGUAGAUAUUCGGAAGAACACCAGUGGCGAAGGCGGCUCACUGGACGAUUGUUGACGCUGAGGUGCGAAAGCGUGGGGAGCAAACAGG